CCUACGGGAGGCUGCAGUGAGGAAUAUUGGGCAAUGCCCGCAAGGGUGAUCCAGCAACGCCGCGUGGAGGAUGAAGGCCGUAAGGUUGUAAACUCCUGUUAGAGGAGAAGAAUAGUACCGAUUGGAUCGGUAUUUGACUGUACCCUCAGAGAAAGCCCCGGCUAACUACGUGCCAGCAGCCGCGGUAAUACGUAGGGUGCAAGCGUUGUCCGGAUUUAAUGGGUGGAAGGGGGGAUAAGGCGGGAGAGCAGAAAUCCUACAGCUUAACUGUAGAACUGCCGUUGAUACUGUUAUUCUUGAGUUCGGGAGAGGGAGACGGAAUUCCAGGUGUAGUGGUGAAAUACGUAGAUAUCUGGAAGAACACCAGUUGCGAAGGCGGUCUCUUGGUCCGAUACUGACGCUGAGGCGCGAAAGCGUGGGGAGCAAACAGGAUUAGAUACCCCGGUAGUC
rnacentral:rRNA from 1 species